rnacentral:rRNA from 1 species
UGCCUACGGGAGGCAGCAGUAGGGAAUCUUCCACAAUGGGCGAAAGCCUGAUGGAGCAACGCCGCGUGGGUGAAGAAGGUCUUCGGAUCGUAAAACCCUGUUGUUAGAGAAGAAAGUGCGUGAGAGUAACUGUUCACGUUUCGACGGUAUCUAACCAGAAAGCCACGGCUAACUACGUGCCAGCAGCCGCGGUAAUACGUAGGUGGCAAGCGUUAUCCGGAAUGAUUGGGCGUAAAGGGUGCGUAGGCGGCAAAAUAAGUCUGAAGUAAAAGGCGUUGGCUCAACCAACGUAAGCUUUGGAAACU